UACGUAGGUGGCGAGCGUUAUCCGGAAUUACUGGGUGUAAAGGGCGUGUAGGCGGCACUGUAAGUCAGAUGUGAAAUCUCCCGGCUCAACCGGGAGCGUGCAUCUGAUACUGCAGUACUUGAGUGAUAGAGGGGAAAGCGGAAUUCCAUGUGUAGCGGUGAAAUGCGUAGAGAUAUGGAGGAACACCAGUGGCGAAAGCGGCUCUUUGGCUCGCAACUGACGCUGAGGCGCGAAAGCGUGGGGAGCAAACAGG
rnacentral:rRNA from 1 species